GACCCUACAACCAAAAGUGGCGGAUCUGAGCAACUUAGCUCCCAUUUUUAGUGUUGCUUUUAUUUUUCCUCAUAUUGAACAAGACAACAGGACUCUUCCUACCAUCUGAAGGAAACGAAGAACAGGAGAGACCAAAAAUGGCGGAUCUCACCAAGAAAUAAAAGACCCAAAAGCAGCCUCUUCUUCUCCUCUUCAUCUUCUAAAAUGAGGAGGCCUCUCCCCCUUCCCUUGAUUCUCAUUUAAAAGACACAUUCACACACGAUAAAAUGGGCCUACAAAAUUCGGGAAUCUGGGAAUUUCAAGAGUUUAAAAAGCAAAGAAAAAGUAAAAAAAAAUUGAACAACAAAAGAGUUUCAAAUCUGGUCCAGUUUUUUUCCUGUUUCUUCUGCUGCAAUUUCUAGAAAUCCGAGUGAUUUUGGAGCUGUGAUAAGUGCUUGUUUUGCGAUUUGUUAUGCUAAAUUCAUGGAUGAAAGCCGACCUUCACUUUAAGCCUUCAUAUGGCAUUUGUUGUUCGUUUAUUCUAGCGGAAAGGUAAACACAUAAAACUCCGGAUGUACUUAAAUGUUCUUCAAUGAAAAAUGAGCUGUCGAUCUACUCGAGAUCUUGUAUGACGUUUGUUUUGCUCAGAUUUUGUAUUAAAACUGUCCCCUUAGUGUGAAUCUGAUUAUGACUUGAAGCUAUAACUCACAGAUGUUAAUUUGAGCUUUUAAAAUUCACUAUAUGUCGAUUUGAUUAACAGUUGACGUGCUUACUUUAAGAUUAAAUACGAAAUGUUGCUCUACGCUAUUCUGCUUAUGUGAUAAUCUCCUUGGUCUGGUUUAAUUCAAUUUAUAUUCUGUCAAAGUUUGCCAAUUAGAAAUCAUGUUGAUUUUCGAAUUUACCGAAAAUGAUAGUUAUAGUUGAUGUGGAAAGCUCAGACACUAGCGUGCUUCAGUUGUUCUGGUUUGUAGGUAAAUUAUUUCAAAUGAAAUGAGCUCAUGUUUGAAGUUUUUCUCUCUGGUUUGUUUUGGCUUCAUGGACUUCUCUUUCUCUGAUUUGCUCUAUGAUCUUAGUACUGCCUCUUCCUUGCUUGGUCUGUACGACAUUUGCCCUUCAUCUCAAAUUAUUUCAGUCAAAAAUUAUUGUUUGCCUCAAGCUUUAAGAGUUUAUUGUUAGAACACAUUCCCACGUUGUUGCAUUUAGAGCAAUUGCAAGUCAAGAUGGAAUGAUUGCUGACCGGUACUACUUUGAUUUCAAGUUCGUUGACUCUUUGAUCAUGUAUUAAGAAAGAUCUCAAUAGUGUUAGUGGUAAAUCAAGUUCUUAUGCUUAUUACGUCAAAGCCUCCAUCAUAAUUGAGUGGUAAUAAGGCUAUAUUUGGUGACUAAAAUAGGUUAAAGAAGACUAAAUUUGGUGACUGAAGUAGGUUGCUUUUUGCGAUUUUUGGCGUAUAAUAAAAAGGAAGAAAAAUUCAUGAACAUCCAUAGGUUGCUUUAAUUGAGUACAAAUCUUUUAAAAUAAAUUGAGGCGUGUCAUGCCAGACAAAAUUUAUAAUCCAUGGCCCUCAUAGAAUUAGAUUCAAGAACUAACACUCAUAGAAAAGGUUUGAGGUGUGCCAUGCCAAAUAAAAUCCCUAAGUGCAUGGCCCUCAUAAAACUAGUUGGUUCUUAUAGAAAAUUUAAGGUGUGCCAUUUUCCAUUAAAUAACCCAUGGCCGUCACGAAAUCGAUUCAAACCUUUUAAAAUUGGGGUGUGCCAUCAAUUAAAUUUUCCAUGGCCCUCGCACACGUUGUUAUUAAUUUGAACCUUCGUAGUUGCUUUAGACGUGUUCUUUAUAUUGAUUUUCUUUGGUUGCUAAAUUCGGGUGUAUAUUUCAUGUGACCGAAUUUCAAUUCUUAGCAAUGUUAAAUAGAACGUGUCGCGAAUCGCGGGUGCAUUUCAUGUGGCAUGGUUCAAGGCAUGUUUUAAAUGAUGUUGAAUCUUCCUAAAAGUGUUUUAAAUAUUUAAAAAUGUUUAAUAGCUAAAAAUGUACAAUAAGAUAAAACAUGUAAUAAAUCAGAUAAUAGGCCAAUUUUAAUAGUUUAAGCGACCGUGCUAGAACCACGGAACCCGAGAAUGCCUAACACCUUCUCCCAGGUUAACAGAAUUCCUUAUCUAGAAUUUCUGGUUCGCAGACUUUAAAAAAAAAUCCUCGAUUUGGUAUUGAAAUGGUCACAGUUUUUCUGCAGGCCCAAGAGGCUGACUACUUCCAUAACAUGAU
rnacentral:lncRNA from 1 species